rnacentral:rRNA from 1 species
GACGAACGCUGGCGGCGCUGCUUAACACAUGCAAGUCAAACGGAAAGGCUCCAACUUGCUGGAGUACUCUAGUGGAGAACGGGUGAGAAACACAUGGGUAAUCUGCCCUGGACUCUGGGAUAAGCCUGGGAAACUGGGUCUAAUACUGGAUAUGACCUUUCUCCUUAUGGGGUUUGGUGGAAAGUUUUUCGGUGAAGGAUGACCCCGCGGCCUAUCAGCUUGUUGGUGGGGUGAUGGCCUACCAGGCGACGACGGGUAGCCGGCCUGAGAGGGUGAUCGGCCACAUUGGGACUGAGAUACGGCCCACACUCCUACAGGAGGGAGCAGUGGGGAAUAUUGCACAAUGGGCGGAAGCCUGAUGCAACGACUCCGCGUGAGGGAUGACGGCCUUCGGGUUGUAAACCUCUUUCACCAUGGACCAAACGUAAGUGACUGUACCUGCACAAGAAGCACCGGCUAACUACUUGCCAGCAGCCGCGGCAAUACGUAGGGCGCGAGCGUUGUCCGGAAUUACUGGGCGUAAACAGCUCGGAAGCGGUUUGUCACGUCCUCUGUGAAAACCUAGGGCUUAACCCUGAACAUGCAGGCGAUACAGGCUGACUUGACUACUACAUUGGAGACUGGAAUUUCUGGUGUAGCGGUGGAAUGCACAGAUAUCAGGAAGAACACCGAUGGCGAAGGCAGGUCUCUGGGUAGUAACUGACGCUGAGGAGCGAAAGCAUGGGUAGCGAACAGGAUUAAAUACCCUGGUAGUCCAUGCCGUAAACGGUGGGCGCUAGGUGUGGGGUUCCUUCCACGGGCUCCGCGCCGUAACUAACGCAUUAAGCGCCCCGCCUGGGGAGUACGGCCGCAAGGCUAAAACUCAAAGAAAUUGACGGGGGCCCGCACAAGCGGAGGAGCAUGUGGAUUAAUUCGAUGCAACGCGAAGAACCUUACCUGGGCUUGACAUAUAGAGGAUCGCUACAGAGAUGUGGUUUCCCUUGAGGCUUCUAUACAGGUGGUGCAUGGUUGUCCUCAGCUCGUGUCGUGAGAUGUUGGGUUAAGUCCCGCAACGAGCGCAACCCUUGUCUUAUGUUGCCAGCACGUUAUGGUGGGGACUCGUGAGAGACUGCCGGGGUCAACUAGGAGGAAGGUGGGGAUGACGUCAAAUCAUCAUGCCCCUUAUGUUCAGGGCUUCACACAUGCUACAAUGGCCGGUACAGAGGGCUGCGAUGCCGCGAGGCGGAGCGAAUCUCUUAAAGCCGGUCUCAGUUCAGAUUGGGGUUUGCAACUCGACCCCAUGAAGUCGGAGUCGUUAGUAAUCGCAGAUCAGCAACGAUGCGGUGAAUACGUUCCCGGUCCU